GAGCUUACAGAAGCAAGAAAUCAAUCAACAUGGCUUCAACCCCAGAGGGUGAAGUGGGAGAGUAAGAUGGAUGUUUGAUCACAGAGAGCUCAGACUUUAGUAGCAACCCCAUUGUUAAGCAACUGUGUGAUCUUGGACCCUAAAAAAUGUCUUGGAUAAAUGAAGAAACUCCCCUGCUGAACAGAAAUACUGGAAUGGACGUAUCAGAGGGGCUUGCAGUAUCAGGCUGUCACUUACUCCUCCGUCCUGGAAGUUCUUCCCCAGAUUGACACAUGACUGGCCCUUUUUGAGAAUUCAACUGACUGCUCAGAUAUUAUCUUCUCAAAGAGAUUUUCCCAAUCAUCCAGGGUAAUUCCAUUGUUUAGGAAUACUACUUCAUGAAAUAAUCACAGACACAAAGGCUUAU